CUAAUUUCUAGGAUAAUUUGUUGCCCUAUCUUUUUGAACCUUGUGCCCGGCCCAGUUGCCCCUUUCCCGAACGACCAUUCUCUCUCUCCGUCUCUCUCUCACUCCGAGAGAGAGGGAGAGAUUAUUUUCAUAGCUUCCUUUCAAUGAAAAUACCCUUCGAAGGAGGAGCGACAGUGGAUUGCAGAGAAAGGAUAGGUUCGUGGCGAAGAUUAGGGUAAUGGGAGCGGAUGAGAGAGGUUUAAGGUUUUGAAAGGAUGGGGAGGAUUAGGGUUAUGAUUACAACAAAAAAAACCGGGGAUGUAUUCGAAGAGGAGUAAGAUUUGUGAAUCUCACUCACCCCAUUCCUUCUCUUUCUCUCUCAAAUCCUUACUCACGUAACGCUCUCACAGAUUCUUCCCUUUCUUCAGUCCACUAGAGGUCGGUUCCUCAUCUCGAGUAGAUACUACGAUGCAGCACUGGGUGAAGUUGCAGCCAAUGAAUGACAAAAUUGUUCUCAAUCAACAAAAACCUGGGUGGAGCCGGUUCGUCUUGGCUUGGGCUUCCACAGCGCUUCUGUCGGCCAGACAAUGCCAUCGCUACUGCAUCAAUGUGGGGAUUGUUUGAACCCCUUUGAGGAGUUGGUCCAUUCUUAUUCUUCUAGAGAAGUGCCUAUUUGUUCACAUGGAGAACUAACUGAACCUGGAGCACUGUUCAAGAAUUUAAUGUCCGUUCUUCGGGGUGUUGUUAUAUGCUACGAUGGGACUGUGAGAGAUGUUUGUAGCAAUUCUGUGGUCCACUUAGUAUGGUGAGGACUGGGGAGGCUGUAACUAAUCCCAAGAGUUUCUAUGCUGCUGGUGAGCCUGUAAGUGAUUUAGUUGUGACUGCAUUUUCAAAAAUCCUGCAUAUAAGGCAGUUCAUGAUUCUUAUCCAAGUAGCAAUUCAUUGUGGGAAAUGAUGAAGGUAUUUAUUGGUUCAAUUAAUUUCCAAAUUCAUAUAUCUUUGUAUUCCCCAUUGACCCUUUUUUUUUUUUUAAUAUAAAUUUUGUAUGAACGUUUCUGCGCUUAUAACUUUCAGAAAAUAUUUCAAGAAUAAGCAUAUUGAUUGACGUAUAAUAAUGUACCUGAAUGGCUGCGGUUGUGGGACAGAUAGGGAAAAUGUUGCAUGUAUAGUUCAGAAUCAGUUGGAGAGAGUCGGCCUGGACGAUAUAUUAGUUGAUUUUAUGAUUAUGUAAUUUUUAUUAUCUUUAAUUCCCAUUUCCUUUUUUUCAAAUAUUUAGUUCUUGUUAUAACAGGGAUUUAGGGUUCAAUCGUUAAGCCAUUUUUCUGGAGUUCCUGUUUGGAUACUGUUUCUGCAUAUGCUUAGUCAUCUUAUUAUUAUAGCAUUUUACUUGAACGAUAUUUUAAUUACUCCAAUUUUUUUAGUUGUUUGCUCAAAUAGUAUAACUGUAUAUUGCCAAUUCAAUCUUAAAACAUUUUUUCAAUUCACUGGUUUAAAUAAAAGUGAAAUAUCCAUGUCAUUGGUCAUACAUCUGAUCUCUUUUUGGUCAAAUGUCUACACAAUUUACUAGUUAUACAUUUAUAAAUAACCUAUACUUGCCUCAUGUAUGAUCAGAAAAAUCAUGACAGUUUGCUAGAAUAUCUGCAGUUUGGAUGGUGAUGAUCAUCUAACUAUAUUUGUCUUGGAAGUACUCGUGACAUUUUUUUUUUUAGGGGGUGCGGGUGUGGGUGGGGGAGUUGUUUGACUUGUAAAUCAUGUACAAAUAUUACAUUUAUGAUGAUAAUGACAAUUUGAUUGCUAUUCUAACAAGUGUUCUAGAAAAUGGAUGGACCUGAUCGUUAAACCGUUUGGACUGUGAAGCACAAUUGUCAUGAGCAUAUCGAUGUCAACUGUUAAGUAGCAUGAUCCUCUCCCCCCCCCCCCCCUCUUCUUCAACACCAUUCACUGGUUAAUGAAGGCAUUAUCACCAGAUGGUCAAACUAUUUUUACUGUCAAAACCAAAUAGUCAGAAUGUACGUCAGGAGGUAUCUCUUUUUGGUAAAUAUUGUGGAUGGGGUUAUAUCAGACUAUCAACUACAUUGCCUUGCAAUAAUGUUUCUCCCCGUCUUGGUUUCAUAAACAUCAAUCACUGAAUUCUCUGAUCUUUUUUCAUACAGUUUUGUUUUAUAUAUUAGCCAUAUCUGUAAUGUAGUUGCAUUUCUUCAUGCAGAGGAUUGUCUGGAGAAGGGUAUGUCUGGUCAUAUAGAUUAGUGUUUCUUAUUGGUGUUUCCAAGGCUGUACACUCCGUACAUUCUGGCUUGAUCCCUGGCUUGUUUAACAACCAACUGAAGGAAAAUAAUGUGUUGCUAGAUGAGCAUCAGGCUAAGAGAGAAAGCCACAAAUGGUAUAUAUAUGGUGAUCAAGGCAGGUAUGAUGUAGCAUCUGAAGACUCAUCCUACUCAGAUGAUUCCAAUCCAAGCACAAACUAAAAGUAUGCCAUUUCGCUCGAAGGCGUUAAACUACGACUAUUAAGUUAGUGAGAUAGUCAUGCUGGUGGACUUAAAAAGGAUCCAGUGCCCUUCUAGGUUAGAAAGCAUUUUGUGAUUUUGCAAUAUCUCCGUUAGAAAAGUCAAGAGCUGUGUGAAGCCUUAGUGAGGGUUUCCCUAUCAAAAUAAUACCAGCUUAGGUCGGAGGCAACUGGGAGCGAAAGCGUUUGCCGGAUGAAAAAUCCGCAGUAUAAGUCCUAACCGUAUAGUGAUGAUUAUUUGGAUAUGAGGAUAUGGUGGUGGGACCGCCGAAGGAAACUCACUGAGUUGCGUGGAUCACCCUCAUGGACAUCCGAGAGAGUAUUGCUUUUUGUGACACGUGGAAUCACUCUAGUGGACAAUCAACUCCACUAAGGAUCAAAACACGAGGAAUGAUGUUAUUGGACUGAUAAUUUAAACAAGGAUUGUGUGUUUGUUCCAAGACAUGUGGAAUCAUUUCAUCGGUUUGUCAACUUGGACAAGGAUUUUGUUUGCUUUUGGUUAUGUUAUGGUCGAGUCAUUUUUUCCUUUGGUAAAGUCUUGGUUGCUUUAAUUGAAAUCAGUAUUGGUCCUUGCUUGUAAUUAUCUAUGAAAGGAAGUGCAUGGUUGUAAAUUGUCCUCCCCCCUGAAGACUAUAGAUAGGGGCUUUGUGUUGUGUUGGAGGCAUAACUGGGGAGCUGUCCUAACCUCCAUGUGGAAUCUUGUAGUGUCGUAUACUUCUUCUUCUUCAUAAUAAAAAACAGGCCGAGCAUCCAGUUUGCUAGGAGUUUCCCCUAUCAAAGGUUUUCUCCAUCAUCAAAAGUUGUCUAGUGUUCCAGUGCAUUCUUCUCUAUUAUUGUUUUUAUUUCACAUUUGACAAGUAUGCUCUACGGUUGCCUAUCAAAUGAUCGUCCACAUCAAAAUCUUGGGAAAAGGACAGGUAUCUGGUCGUGUUCCCUAUGCCCUCUCGCAAGGGGCUGUGAAAUGAUCAAGCAACCUCCCAUGUUGGAUGCCCCAAUGUGCUGUCCCAUUGGCUACGCCACCCGUGACCAGUCACCAGGAUGCCUUUUCACCAUGAAACAGUCGUAUUGUUUCCACAAAGGACACUGGGCUCCAUGUGAAUAUGGGGAUAGCUUCUAUAUGCUGCUGUUUGGAGCUAUUUAGAUUGGCUGUUCUCAGAUACCUGAAUGAUCCAAAUGGUGGAGAUGAUGCUUGAAUCUGGUUUGACAAUGUACAGUUCCCUUGAUAGAAAUUAUGGAAUUCAAUUGUUGAUGUACCACCAGACGAGCAAUAUCAGAGUGCAAUAAAAGACCCAAAUCAAGUAUUAGGUAAGCCAUUGCUAUAAGGUAUUCAUUGACAAGCAAGGCCUUCUCUGUGUCACCAAGUGGGCUUCAGAUCCUAUUGCUCAAUUACCCAAGUCAUCAGGCUACAUUUCAAGGAAGAUAGAUCCAUAGGUAAUAUAAGACGAGAGCAAGAAAAGAAAUAGAAAUUGACUUGAAUAAUCUGAUUAAUAGUUGUGUUUUGUUACCCGUGAUGUUUCUACCCCUAUUUGUAACAGCAUUAAAUUACUUUAUCUAUGUUCAAUUGCAUGUUCAUGUUCACGAUUUUAUUUUCUUCCAUAUCUACCCCACACGUUAGCAUUUAAACAUUUCUGUUACAUACAUAUACUCUCUCCUCCAUCUUACAAAUGGCCACACAUGCGAGUUUACUAGCACAUAUAUAUGUUGCUGCUUACGGACUUCCGCAGACAAAUAUAGUCAAGGACAGUCUACUGUCAUAAUGAGUUUAUGGUUUUCCAUCAUUAAUUGCAGAUAACUGAACAUAAACUCUCUUUGACAGUUCAUUUGAUGAACCUGUUACAUCAGAGUGUGUGUGUGUGAGAGAGAGAGUUAACUCACGAUGUCGUUCUAGAUGCUAUUGUUACAUCAACCACCUUUUGUUUCCUAAUGUUUUAAUGUUUUCUCCUUGCCUAUAAUUUAUUAGAUUUUUCCUAUCAAUAGCAAACAAUUGGUUGAUUUCUGAUGUGGUUAUGACUCUUUGUUGUUGUUUUUGUUGAUGUUAUGACUCGCUGAGGAGUUGGAAAAUACAAGACAGUGUGAUGCUAUAUGUGGAGGAUUCAGUUUAGAGACCAUCUGCAAAAGGUCCCAAAACUCUUAAGAUGUUAAUUUAUUUGGUGAUGACAUACUUUAUCUUUUAUUCUACUCUGUCCUCAUGUUAUCUUGAUUGCAUGGUGGUGAUCUUUGACAUAUAUUUACUCUGGAUUGUGAUAUACGCAUCCUUUUAUUUCAGGAGUGUUGAAAGGAAUGCUCAUGAUAAACGACCUGCAUAGCAAGUUGGCCUUUUUAUUUCAGGAGUGUUGAAAGGAAUGCUCUUGAUAAAUGUCCUGCAUAGCAUGUUGGUCUUUUUAUUAGGGGGUGGUUGGGGGGUUCACAAAUAAGAAGGCCCACAAAAUUUGGACUCUUAGAAAAGGUUUUGAUGAAUACUUCGCAAAUAAUUUUGUACAAAAGCUUUGGAAUCUGGAAAAAAAAAUGUUUAGAUUGAUUUAUCACAUCAGCCUAGAUCAUUUUCAGUUUUCCCCUGACAAUCAAUGCGACCAAAUUAAUGUCUUCUUUCUCAGGGUGCUUGUAUUGUUUGGUUUCUCAGGCCAUGUUACUUGAUAUUGCCACAAGCAUGCUUCCCUUCUAAUUCUCUAUGAUUCUUUUGCAUCUGACUUGUGCUUCUGAAAUAAGCUGCACGACUCAUGGAGUUACUGCUAACACAUUUUCACUAAUGAAGUAUUUUUCCAUUUUAGGCUGUUUUAGAAGUAUUUAAUUUACUAAUUGAUUGAUAUCUUUGGAUUUUUUUAAUAUUUGUAUCUCAGAUAUCACGCACAAGUGAAUAUGAUCCACUGGAUCUGUUCUCUGGAAUAAACCACGCCAGAAAGGCACUCUGUCACCUUACAAAACAAUUUCAGCGUAAUUCUUACAUGGCCAUCACUACUGCCUCCUGUAGGAGUUUGGGCCGUCUCUCAGUCUCAGUGUGGCUGAUCGUUCUCUCAGACCAGCUACUAAUCAUCGCCUUAGUAAGAUAUUGCCUCACUAAUUAGCUAAUCAGAAGCAAGCCCUUCGGGGAGAUUCCUCCUGUUGUUUCUCAGCCUAUGGGUAUUAGCAACUGUUUCCAGCUCUUCUUUCCCUCCCAAGGGUAGGUUCAUAUGUGUGCCUUAUUUUUGAAGGCUUGAAAGGUAGCUUGGAAUCUGCAGUAGCCGACACAUUGAAAUAAACAAUGGAUUUGAAUAUCUGAUUAAUGGAGUGAUCAUAGUAUUUUUGGGCCCACAUUUGGGUAGAUUCUUGGAGGUUGUUGGAGAAACAGUUUUAGAUGAGACCUGCUUGAAAGUUACUGGAAGUUCAAAAGCUUGACAAAUUUCAUACCGAAGGGGCUAUCCAUGCAUAUUACAACAUUUUACAACCUGCGUGGUAUGCAAAGAUUUCAACGAUGUUAGGGUCUCCAACUGUCUACUCGUCUCUGCAUUCUCUUUUAUUGGAGGAAAGCAUGAAGGUUUGUAAAAAUUAUCUUAUAGCUGCAACCGGGAAGGAUUGUAGUAUGAUGGUCAGUUUAGAACCAAAAUUGGAUGGGAACCUGAUGUUUGGUUAUGUCUCUGCAUACCUGCAACCAGUAGAUCAACAUUUUGCUUACUAGGUAUGCUUCUUUUCCUUCACUUCCUGUUGUUUGUAUGAGUGCCUAUAUUGUUCAAUUUCACCUUAUUCUGUCAUAGCAUAAGGUGUGAUGCUCAUAAGCACACUUGCAUGCUCCCACAUACCAACGUUAGUAGAGCUGAUUGCUUUUGUGUUUAUGUUAGGGUCUUCAACUGUCUAUUUUGCUGUCAUUUUAUUUGUUGAACUAUGCACCUGAGAUUCUGGCCUAUGGUUGGGUUAGUUGGGGUUUCUGUUCUGCAAUUGCAAGAAAUGCAGUCGCUUUCUGCUACUAGUCCUGGAGACAUUUUUGCCAAUACUGUUUUGUUUAGAAUGUUGUGUAGUCAGCGUUUUGUGGUCAAUUUCAGCAUGUUUAUUCGAAAAUAUUGGUUUUGUGGCUCACUGCAAAGGGCUGACGUGGCUGUUCUGACUGUUAAGAUGGAUAUGAAACUGUUUUGAUUUGCCAAAUGUCAAAUUUCGGGAUUCAGCUCAUUUGUAUUUUCUUGAAGUUGAGUUGACUGCAUUGUAACUAUUGUCCUCAGAUUUUUUUUUUUGGAGUAUCCUUGACAUGAAUAUGAAACCUUUCAAGAAGAUGGUUUACUACU